UUAUCAUUUAGAUUUCGGAAUUGUCAUAGAAUUCUUUGUGCCAUGAAGUCCAAAUUUUUUUACCUUGUGGAUUGUGGACAUUGAUAUAUGGUCAUCAGGUUAGUAGUCGAAUCGAUGAUAUUCCGGUUCGACUGGUCAUCUCUAUGCUCGGUAAGAUAGUUUUCAUCACCAUAAAAAGAAACUUGACGAAAAAUUCUUUAAUUGAGACUGAUUCAUAAUCAUGUAUAUGUAUACAUAAUCAAAUUAGUCAUUGCAUCGCUCGGAUGAUAUAAUAUUACAAUCACAUUUGAUAUGGUAGAUUGGAUACCAUAUUAAAGUAUAUCAGAGCCUCAGCAAGUUUACCAGCUGCAGUUGGUGUUGUCCUAUGGAAAAGUUCUAAUUAGGCUAAUGUCGAACCCAACAGUGAAUCGACAGCUUCCUCUUCUUCUGAUUUAUCGUCCUUUGGAAAAUUGAGACAAUCAAUCUCUCCAUCGGAAUCAGUAGUCGGAUCAUCCUUCAUCAGGGAAAUCUUACAUACCACCAGAUUUGAUAUCUACUGAGGAGAUUUUGCUUGCAUAAAACACAAAUGAAGGGGGGCGGUACCAACAUAUGGAUUCUCAAUACUCAUACUUACAAGAAGCAGGUGUAGGGCAAAAUUAUUGCUUUGGAAUACAUUUCACUUAGCUUAGACCGACAUGAGCUUAUAACUACCUAGGAUCUUCUCCUUAUAAAUCAGUUUUAAGUGCGAAUUCUACCCAACUUUAUUAACAAUUGGCAUCAAGGCAUCUCGAAAUGGCCAUUGAUGCUAACAGAUAGAUGUGAAGGGGUUCGCGAAGUUACCUGGAUGGAGGUAUACGGUCUGCCAUGGAAAUUGAUUCUACACAAAGGAAUGAAAUGCCUAAUUGUGGGCUUACAACCAUUUAAGACACCUUCCACUUGCACUCCCAUUUCAAGAGUUAAGUUAUACUCAAUAUGCCAAGCCUUAGCUUAGUGAUGUGGGAUAC
rnacentral:lncRNA from 1 species